rnacentral:lncRNA from 1 species
AUUCCACAGCCCCCACCCCUGCCCUCAGCCUCCUUCAAAGUGGCCGCUGGGGCUGGGGUCUGUCUUUGCAGAGGUGCCAGGCCACAUGCCCUGCCCACCUCUACCAGCUAUGCCGCCUCUGAAGUUCCUCCAGCGGCACUGAGGAGGGGCCCUGUGGUCGAGGGUGCAGUUAAACGAGGCCCGACCGGGUAGUUGAGCUCAGCUUGGCUGUACUUGUCUUCCUUGGACCUGCUGGGCACCCCCAGAGCCACAGGGGCCACCUGACAUCUCACAGGCUCAUCUACCUUCCAAGACCAGCUCAUCACUUCUGGCACCCCUCUCUAUAGUUGCCUCCCAAAGUCUCCCAUCUUAUACCCACGGCCCCCUGGGCAUCAAGCUGGACAUCUGGGAACAACCUUCAGCACCAAGUCCCCCCACCACUCAUCUGGACUUGCAAAAGUCUCCUUACUGGUCUCGCUGUCAUCCAGGAGCCAUGAAUGCAAUACAGCAAUGAGAGUGGCCAGCCACUGCUACUACAUGCAGCCCCAUGGAGGACUCUCACAGAUACAACUCUGAACGAAAGAGGCCAGGCGUGAACAGCACAGGUGGAACUGAGGAGUCCCAACCCAGGGCAGGAAGGGCACAAGAACAUCGUCCUGUUUGUGGACUCACCUGGUAGUUACCCGGAUGUGUUCACUUUUGAUAAUUUAUUAAGGAAUAUUUUUAUGAUUGGUGCACUUUCCUGUAUGCAUGUUAUAUUUCAAAAACAAGUUUUCAUGAAAAAAAAAAAAAGCAAACAAAUACAAAUGCUGUCUGCUGUCCCCUCCUGUCCUCCCAUGCCCUUGCCCUGUGCAGGCCAGCACCGCCUCCCCCUGGAUGGCUGCCCUGGCCUUCCUCUCAUGUGCUCACCUCCCCAUACCUCCCACUCCCACUCCAAAUUAUAGUCGCCAGGCUUAGCAAUAAAAGUACACAAAUGCCAAAAAAGUUAUUCACUGUUUAUCUGAAAUUCACAUUUGACUGAGGGUCCUAUGUUUGACCUGACAA